rnacentral:rRNA from 1 species
UACGUAGGGGGCUAGCGUUGUCCGGAUUUAUUGGGCGUAAAGAGCUCGUAGGCGGUUUCGUUAGUCGGGUGUGAAAACCCCAGGCUCAACCUGGGGACGCCACCCGAUACUGCGAUGACUAGAGUCCGGUAGGGGAGUGUGGAAUUCCUGGUGUAGCGGUGAAAUGCGCAGAUAUCAGGAGGAACACCGGUGGCGAAGGCGGGUCUCUGGGCCGAUACUGACGCUGAGGAGCGAAAGCGUGGGGAGCAAAACGG